UGGGAAAACACAACAAUCUGCAAGGGAGA
rnacentral:piRNA from 1 species